rnacentral:SRP_RNA from 2 species
GCCAGGUGUGGUGGUGGGCACCUGUAAUCCCAGCUACUCGGGAGGCUGAGGCAGGAGAAUUGCUUGAACCCAGGAGGCGGAGGUUGCAGUGAGCCGAGAUCACACCACUGCACUUCAGCCUGGGCAACACAGCGAGACUCUGCCUCAG